ACGGGUGAGUAACACGUGAGUAACCUGCCCCUGACUCUGGGAUAAGCGCUGGAAACGGCGUCUAAUACUGGAUAUGACUGAUCCCUGCAUGGGGGUUGGUGGAAAGAUUUUUUGGUUGGGGAUGGACUCGCGGCCUAUCAGCUUGUUGGUGAGGUAAUGGCUCACCAAGGCGACGACGGGUAGCCGGCCUGAGAGGGUGACCGGCCACACUGGGACUGAGACACGGCCCAGACUCCUACGGGAGGCAGCAGUGGGGAAUAUUGCACAAUGGGCGAAAGCCUGAUGCAGCAACGCCGCGUGGGGGACGACGGCCUUCGGGUUGUAAACCUCUUUUGUCAAGGAAGAAGCCUUCGGGUGACGGUACUUGGAGAAAAAGCACCGGCUAACUACGUGCCAGCAGCCGCGGUAAUACGUAGGGUGCGAGCGUUGUCCGGAAUUAUUGGGCGUAAAGAGCUCGUAGGCGGUUUGUCGCGUCUGCUGUGAAAUCCCGAGGCUCAACCUCGGGCCUGCAGUGGGUACGGGCAGACUAGAGUGCGGUAGGGGAGAUUGGAAUUCCUGGUGUAGCGGUGGAAUGCGCAGAUAUCAGGAGGAACACCGAUGGCGAAGGCAGAUCUCUGGGCCGUAACUGACGCUGAGGAGCGAAAGGGUGGGGAGCAAACAGGCUUAGAUACCCUGGUAGUCCACCCCGUAAACGUUGGGAACUAGAUGUGGGGGCCUUUCCACGGUCUCCGUGUCGCAGCUAACGCAUUAAGUUC
rnacentral:rRNA from 1 species